GGACCAAUGGAGGGUCUCGCUGGACACACCGGACUUCACCGACAUCGUGCUGCAGCUGGACGACAUCCAGCAUGCCAUCGCCAUCAACUAUGACCCAAUGGAGGGCCACGUCUACUGGACGGAUGACGAGGUGUGGGCCAUCCGCAGGGCAUACCUGGAUGGGUCUGGGGCGCAGACGCUGAUCAACACCAAGAUCAACGACCCCGAUGACAUCGCAGUCAACUGGGUGGCCCGAAGCCUCUAUUGGACCCACACAGGCACUGAACACAUCGAGGUGACGUGCCUCAACAGCACCUCCCACAAGAUCCUGGUGUCAGAGGACAUGGACGAGCCCCGUGCCAUUGCACUGCAUCCCGAGAUGGGCCUCACGUACUGGAUAGACUGGGGAGAGAACCCUGAAAUCAAGCGUGCCAACCUGGACAGGCAGGAGCUGCGCGUGCUGGUCAAUGCUUCCCUCGGGUGGCCCAACGGCCUGGCCCUGGACCUGCAGGAAGGGAAGCUCUACUGGGGAGAUGCCAAGACAGACAAGAUCGAGGCGAUCAGUGUCGAUGAGACGAAGAGGCAGACCCUCCUGAAGGACAAGCUCCCACACAUUUUCAGGUUCACCCUGCUGGGGGACUUCAUCUACUGGACCGCCUGGCAGCACCACAGCAUCAAGCGGGUACACAAGGUCAAGGCCAACCGGGACGUCAUCAUUGACCAGCUGCCCGACCUGAUGGGGCUCAAAGCUGUGAACGUGGACAAGGUCGUCGGAACCAACCCUCAUGCGGACAGGAAUGGGGGUGCAGCCACCUGUGCUUCUUCACGCCCCACACAACCCGGUUUGGCUGCCCCAUCUAGGGCCUGGAACUGCUGAGUGACAUGAAGACCUGCAUCAUGCCCAAGGCCUUCUUGGUCUUCACCAGUAGAGCCGCCAUCCACAGGAUCUCCCUCGAGACCAACAACAACGAUGUGGCCAUCCUGCUCUCGGCGUCAAGGAGGCCUCGGCCCUGGACUUUGAUGUGUCCAGCAACCACAUCUACUGGACAGACAUCAGCCUGAAGGUAGCGUGGGCCCGAACAUGCACACGUGCAGCCUAUAUGGGAAAACCUUCCCUCUGUACCUGCCUCAAAGGUUUCAGACAUUUUUCUUAAAGCACUAUAAUAUUUAUUGUAACACAAUUCAAGCUAAUUAAAUAUGAGCAAGCCUAUUUC
rnacentral:lncRNA from 1 species